rnacentral:rRNA from 1 species
GUGAGUCAUCGAGUCUUUGAACGCACAUUGCGCCCUCUGGUAUUCCGAAGGGCAUGCCUGUUCGAGCGUCAUUAUCACCCCUCAAGCCUCGUGCUUGGUGUUGGACGGCUUGGUCGCGUCACCGCGACUCCUCCUAAAGACAAUGACGGCGGCCUGUGGUUCCCCCCGGUACACUGAGCUUUUAAUUGACGCACGUAUCGGACAAGGGCACCCGGGACCCGGUCCUCUCCUUUAACUAGGAAACUUCUAAGGUUGACCUCGGAUCAGGUAGGAAUACGCGCUGAACUUAAGCAUAUCAAUAAGCGGAGG